UGAUUGAAACCUCUGUGAGUAGC
rnacentral:miRNA from 1 species